AUACGGCUUCCUAGGUAUCUUGGGAUAUUCCCAUGAGAGAAGGAAGAUCCUACAUAUCCGGGACAGCACGCCCAGUGUUACAGCAGAGAUUGUUAGAGAGUACUACCUUAAGAAGAACUUAGAGUGCACCUUGGCGGGCUGGGAGAGAAGAGCACUGAAAGUCCUGCCUGGCACCCAUUGUGAGCAUGAUCUGGGGGAAAUACCCAGAUAAGUCCAAAGUUCCUGAGAAUUCUUGUCUCCUUCUCCUGCCCCUUGCAGCAAGAGUUACAAGGUCUUUAUGUAAUGUCGUUGCAUCUAAGAAACCCUCGUUGCAACCGUGAACCAGUAGGACAGGUCGGUUCCAAGAGUCACAAGGUAUAAAAGCACGUGUGUUUGGAGUCUCAAGUACAUCCAGUGCUCUGGAGUAGGUUAUGUCUUCUAGUGGAGUAGACUCAUUUGGUUGUGUUUGUUUGCUUGCUUUCAAAUCUCUGAAGGCAGUUUGGAUUUUGACUGUUUAGGUUGUUUUGUUUUAAGUAUUUUGAUCACUUUGGGAACUUUGAAAGUGUAAGAAAAAUGAGGCAGAGAAGUAGAAGACUGGAUAUGAACGGGCUGAGGAUGCUAUUAUUAUAAAGGGGAGGGGCUUCAAACUAUUGGCCAGCUACAGCCAGAGUGCAUUUAGAGGAGCUAGGGGAAAGGUUUAUCUACAUAUAUGUGGGUAGCCACCAGGGAGCUAAGGCUAUUUGUGGCUGUGAGUUGUUUUUGAUGCCUAGGAGUUUUGUUUCUGCAGGUGGAAUGGAAUGGUCAGGUUGGGCUAAACAAUUCUUUAUGGGUCGGAGCUCUUAUUGUUUUUGUUGAUCUAGAGGAUACAGUUUUUCCUUUUUUUAAAAUUUCAUUUACUUUGUGUUGGGCCAGGGAGUCAGAGUGCACCUGUCAGGUGUCAUGCAUGGUGAGCUCUGAGGAAAACUUGAGGGAGUUGAUUCUCCCCUUCCAUUAACUGGGUUCUGGGAGUCGAACUCAGGUUGUCAAUCUUGGUGGUAAUUGCUAUUAUUUCCUGACCCAUCUCAAUGUACCUACAAUGUGUAUUAUAGCCUGUCAAAAAUACCUGUCAUAUAUUUCCUCAGGAAAGGGAAAUAGACUAGAUAUUUAUGGAUGGAUAGGUGUUUGGAAUGGGAGGAUCAAGUGGAGAGAGGGAAGGGAAAUAAGGAUGAGGGCGGAAAUACAGGAGAGACAGAUAAAAUUCAGGGCCAUUGUUGUAGCGAAGCCUAACAUCGUAGAAGUUUCCUAAAAAUAUGUGUAUGUGUAUUUGUACCUAUAUAUAUGUAUUUAUGUAACAGAUGGGAACAUAGCCUGUGGUGGUUUGAAUGAGAAGAGCCCUCAUGGCCUCAUUGGUUGGUUGCCAGGGAGUGGCACUAUUUGAAAAGACCAGGAGGUGUGGCCUAGUUGGAGGAAGAGAGUCACUGGAGACUGGCUUUGAGGACUCAAAAGCCCAUGCAUAUCCCUGAUUGUGUGUGUGUGUGUGUGUGUGUGUGUGUGUGUGUGUGUGUGUGUGUGUGUAUGUGUAUGUAUGUAUGUAUGUAUGUAUGUAUGUAUGUAUGUAUGUAUGUGUGUAUGUAGGUCUCUUGCCCCCCCCCCCAGCUUGUGGAUUAGGACUGAGCUCUCAGCUACUUUUCCCGGGCCAUGUGUGCAGUCAUGCUCCCUGACAUCAUGAUGAUGAACCUAACCACAGAAAGUGUAAGCCAGGCCCCCACAUUGAAAAAUUAAAAAAAGUAAUACUGCUUUCUUUAAUAAGAGUUGCCUUGUCUAUGUUGUGUCCUCACAGCUGUAGACUGAAGUCUCUAGUCCUGCCCAGCCCCUAAGGUCAUGGGCAGAGCAAAUACCACUACAUGCAGCAACAGAACAGCAUCUAAGACACAGUAGAGAGUCCUAGCCAGAUAGUACGCAAAGAGUGAGACCCUGGAACACUCAGCCCUAAAUGAGAUGUCCCCGUCAAAUCCAUCCCCUCAGAGCUCAGGGAACCCCAUGGAAGAGGAGACAGAAAGAAUGUAAGAGCCAGAGGGGCUGGAGGACACCAAGAAAACACGUUUCUCUAAAUCAUAUACGCACAGAGGCUGAAACAGGUGCUUUGAGGGAACUCUUUGGGACUGAUUAGGUGAUGUAGCCUUGUGGAGGAGGUAUGUCACUGGAGGUUUGGUCUCCCAUCGUGCACUCUGUCACUUGUUUUGGUACCCAGAUGUGCGCUCUCAGCUGUUCUUGUAGCCAUGCCUUUGCUGCACCAUGCACUCCAACCCUCUGAACUGCAUAGAAUGAAAAAUAAAACACGUACAGGGAGGAAGAAUUUCAUUUUUUAAAGACCAAGAGGGAAAAAAUGCUAAGCUGAGAGUUGGUCCCAGCAAGCUACAUAGAAUGGAGGCAGAAAUGGUUCCUGGCACUUCGGUCUUCUACUGUUUUUUUCCCCCUCUCUUUUGUUUUUUUUUUUUUCAGACACGAAGGGCGGGUGCCAUGUUGUGGUGGGUAUAGUAGGACCUCUACUGCCAUCAUGAGGAGAUUUGUUCUGUUCCUUUUGUCCCAUUGAAAUGUCCUUCUCAUGAGUCCUAGAGGUGGGGAAAACAAGGCAGGGAGAAAAUUGUAAGAACCUCCCAGUUGGGCCUCCUUGCAUUUUCCAAAGACCCAGACCCUAAGAAUCUGGAAAUUGAUUUCUAGUCUAUGGAUUACCACCACCUGAAGAGCGAAGGACUUAGAGGGGACCCUCACCGGCUAGCUCAUAAGAACCAGAAAAAAAUCCCGCGGAGAAACUCCCACAGUAAAUGAACGAACCAGAAUCAUUUUCAUUUCUUUGAGUCCCUACAUGUAGAUGCUUUGGACUAGUCCAUGUACUAUGUGAGUCGUAUUUACUUUCACAGACCUCGAUCUUUGCUCGCAGUGCGACAGUUUUGCGAUUAGUCGGUGUGCCUUACGGCUACACUUUCCUGCCAUACGGCUUCCUAGGCAUCUUGGGAUAUUCCCAUGAGAGAAGGAAGAUCCUACAUAUCCGGGACAGCACGCCCGGUGUUACAGCAGAGAUUGUUAGAGAGUACUACCUUAAGAAGAACUUAGAGUGCACCUUGGCGGGCUGGGAGAGAAGAGCACUGAAAGUCCUGCCUGGCACCCAUUGUGAGCAUGAUCUGGGGAAAAUACCCAGAUAAGUGCAAAGUUCCUGAGAAUUCUUGUCUCCUUCUCCUGCCCCUUGCAGCAAGAGUUACAAGGUCUUUAUGUAAUGUCGUUGCAUCUAAGAAACCCUCGUUGCAACCGUGAACCAGUAGGACAGGUCGGUUCCAAGAGUCACAAGGUAUAAAAGCACGUGUGUUUGGAGUCUCAAGUACAUCCAGUGCUCUGGAGUAGGUUAUGUCUUCUAGUGGAGUAGACUCAUUUGGUUGUGUUUGUUUGCUUGCUUUCAAAUCUCUGAAGGCAGUUUGGAUUUUGACUGUUUAGGUUGUUUUGUUUUAAGUAUUUUGAUCACUUUGGGAACUUUGAAAGUGUAAGAAAAAUGAGGCAGAGAAGUAGAAGACUGGAUAUGAACGGGCUGAGGAUGCUAUUAUUAUAAAGGGGAGGGGCUUCAAACUAUUGGCCAGCUACAGCCAGAGUGCAUUUAGAGGAGCUAGGGGAAAGGUUUAUCUACAUAUAUGUGGGUAGCCACCAGGGAGCUAAGGCUAUUUGUGGCUGUGAGUUGUUUUUGAUGCCUAGGAGUUUUGUUUCUGCAGGUGGAAUGGAAUGGUCAGGUUGGGCUAAACAAUUCUUUAUGGGUCGGAGCUCUUAUUGUUUUUGUUGAUCUAGAGGAUACAGUUUUUCCUUUUUUUAAAAUUUCAUUUACUUUGUGUUGGGCCAGGGAGUCAGAGUGCACCUGUCAGGUGUCAUGCAUGGUGAACUCUGAGGAAAACUUGAGGGAGUUGAUUCUCCCCUUCCAUUAACUGGGUUCUGGGAGUCGAACUCAGGUUGUCAAUCUUGGUGGUAAUUGCUAUUAUUUCCUGACCCAUCUCAAUGUACCUACAAUGUGUAUUAUAGCCUGUCAAAAAUACCUGUCAUAUAUUUCCUCAGGAAAGGGAAAUAGACUAGAUAUUUAUGGAUGGAUAGGUGUUUGGAAUGGGAGGAUCAAGUGGAGAGAGGGAAGGGAAAUAAGGAUGAGGGCGGAAAUACAGGAGAGACAGAUAAAAUUCAGGGCCAUUGUUGUAGCGAAGCCUAACAUCGUAGAAGUUUCCUAAAAAUAUGUGUAUGUGUAUUUGUACCUAUAUAUAUUUAUUUAUGUAACAGAUGGGAACAUAGCCUGUGGUGGUUUGAAUGAGAAGAGCCCUCAUGGGCUCAUUGGUUGGUUGCCAGGGAGUGGACCAGGAGGUGUGGCCUAGUUGGAGGAAGAGAGUCACUGGAGACUGGCUUUGAGGAUUCAAAAGCCCAUGCAUAUCCCUGAUUGUGUGUGUGUGUGUGUGUGUGUCUGUGUGUGUGUGUGUGUGUGUGUAUGUGUAUGUAUGUAUGUAUGUAUGUAUGUAUGUAUGUAUGUAUGUGUGUAGGUCUCUUGCCCCCCCCCCCCAGCUUGUGGAUUAGGACUGAGCUCUCAGCUACUUUUCCCGGGCCAUGUGUGCAGUCAUGCUCCCUGACAUCAUGAUGAUGAACCUAACCGCAGAAAGUGUAAGCCAGGCCCCCACAUUGAAAAAUUAAAAAAAGUAAUACUGCUUUCUUUAAUAAGAGUUGCCUUGUCUAUGUUGUGUCCUCACAGCUGUAGACUGAAGUCUCUAGUCCUGCCCAGCCCCUAAGGUCAUGGGCAGAGCAAAUACCACUACAUGCAGCAACAGAACAGCAUCUAAGACACAGUAGAGAGUCCUAGCCAGAUAGUACGCAAAGAGUGAGACCCUGGAACACUCAGCCCUAAAUGAGAUGUCCCCGUCAAAUCCAUCCCCUCAGAGCUCAGGGAACCCCAUGGAAGAGGAGACAGAAAGAAUGUAAGAGCCAGAGGGGCUGGAGGACACCAAGAAAACACGUUUCUCUAAAUCAUAUACGCACAGAGGCUGAAACAGGUGCUUUGAGGGAACUCUUUGGGACUGAUUAGGUGAUGUAGCCUUGUGGAGGAGGUAUGUCACUGGAGGUUUGGUCUCCCAUCGUGCACUCUGUCACUUGUUUUGGUACCCAGAUGUGCGCUCUCAGCUGUUCUUGUAGCCAUGCCUUUGCUGCACCAUGCACUCCAACCCUCUGAACUGCAUAGAAUGAAAAAUAAAACACGUACAGGGAGGAAGAAUUUCAUUUUUUAAAGACCAAGAGGGAAAAAAUGCUAAGCUGAGAGUUGGUCCCAGCAAGCUACAUAGAAUGGAGGCAGAAAUGGUUCCUGGCACUUCGGUCUUCUACUGUUUUUUUCCCCCUCUCUUUUGUUUUUUUUUUCAGACACGAAGGGCGGGUGCCAUGUUGUGGUGGUUGUAGCAGGACCUCUACUGCCAUCAUGAGGAGAUUUGUUCUGUUCCUUUUGUCCCAUUGAAAUGUCCUUCUCAUGAGUCCUAGAGGUGGGGAAAACAAGGCAGGGAGAGAAUUGUAAGAACCUCCCAGUUGGGCCUCCUUGCAUUUUCCAAAGACCCAGACCCUAAGAAUCUGGAAAUUGAUUUCUAGUCUAUGGAUUACCACCACCUGAAGAGCGAAGGACUUAGAGGGGACCCUCACCGGCUAGCUCAUAAGAACCAGAAAAAAAUCCCGCGGAGAAACUCCCACAGUAAAUGAACGAACCAGAAUCAUUUUCAUUUCUUUGAGUCCCUACAUGUAGAUGCUUUGGACUAGUCCAUGUACUAUGUGAGUCGUAUUUACUUUCACAGACCUCGAUCUUUGCUCGCAGUGCGACAGUUUUGCGAUUAGUCGGUGUGCCUUACGGCUACACUUUCCUGCCAUACGGCUUCCUAGGCAUCUUGGGAUAUUCCCAUGAGAGAAGGAAGAUCCUACAUAUCCGGGACAGCACGCCCAGUGUUACAGCAGAGAUUGUUAGAGAGUACUACCUUAAGAAGAACUUAGAGUGCACCUUGGCGGGCUGGGAGAGAAGAGCACUGAAAGUCCUGCCUGGCACCCAUUGUGAGCAUGAUCUGGGGAAAAUACCCAGAUAAGUGCAAAGUUCCUGAGAAUUCUUGUCUCCUUCUCCUGCCCCUUGCAGCAAGAGUUACAAGGUCUUUAUGUAAUGUCGUUGCAUCUAAGAAACCGUCCUUGCAACCGUGAACCAGUAGGACAGGUCGGUUCCAAGAGUCACAAGACACGAAGGGCGGGUGCCAUGUUGUGGUGGUUGUAGCAGGACCUCUACUGCCAUCAUGAGGAGAUUUGUUCUGUUCCUUUUGUCCCAUUGAUAUGUCCUUCUCAUGAGCCCUGAGGUGGGUAAAACAAGGCAGGGAGAGAAUUGUAAGAAGCUCCCAGUUGGGCCUCCUUGCAUUUUCCAAAGACCCAGACCCUAAGAAUCUGGAAAUUGAUUUCUAGUCUAUAGAUUACCACCACCUGAAGAGCGAAGGACUUAGAGGGGACCCUCACCGGCUAGCUCAUAAGAACCAGAAAAAAAUCCCGCGGAGAAACUCCCACAGUAAAUGAACGAACCAGAAUCAUUUUCAUUUCUUUGAGUCCCUACAUGUAGAUGCUUUGGACUAGUCCAUGUACUAUGUGAGUCGUAUUUACUUUCACAGACCUCGAUCUUUGCUCGCAGUGCGACAGUUUUGCGAUUAGUCGGUGUGCCUUAUGGCUACACUUUCCUGCCAUACGGCUUCCUAGGCAUCUUGGGAUAUUCCCAUGAGAGAAGGCCAAUCCUACAUAUCUGAGACAGCACGCCUGGUGUUACAGCAGAGAUUGUUAGAGGUCUGUAUGUCUUUGAGGAUCAUUCUCACCUCUCAAGGCCCCCUGGUUUGUGUUUGGAAUGUCUUUAGCCACAUUUUGGUCUAAAUAUUCGAUUCUGUCCUAGAGUACUACCUUAAGAAGAACUUAGAGUGCACCUUGGCGGGCUGGGAGAGAAGAGCACUGAAAGUCCUGCCUGGCACCCAUUGUGAGCAUGAUCUGGGGGAAAUACCCAGAUAAGUGCAAAGUUCCUGAGAAUUCUUGUCUCCUUCUCCUGCCCCUUGCAGCAAGAGUUACAAGGUCUUUAUGUAAUGUCGUUGCAUCUAAGAAACCCUCGUUGCAACCGUGAACCAGUAGGACAGGUCGGUUCCAAGAGUCACAAGGCCUGUAUUCAGAAAAGCAAUGAGGUAUCAUGAGAAAGCUCUGGAGAGAAUGCUGCUGGCUGAAGAAGGGGGCAAAUGGAAGACUUGGCCAUAAGGUUAUUGUGUUCCUUAAGAGUAAGGUACCUGACUAAGAAACAACCAUGUCUCCGACUUACAACAUACCCAAGAGCCAUGUUAGAAAAAGCGAUGCAAGGUUACACGACCUCUAGCCGAUGACCUUUUGGCUGCUUCAUCUCCGGUCCUCUGGUGUCGUCUGUGGUCUCUAUUUGGCGUGGUCGGCUUCAUAGAAGUCCUGACUCUCUUGGCUUGUCCGGUUCUUUUACUCCUCUCCAAGUCUAUAAAACAAAAUGGAUGCACCUGAGACGUUGAGCAAGCACAUAAAGUUCUGUUCCCAGCCACCUGGUAUUGUCCUGUCCUCUGCAGUCAGGCUCUGCUACUAAAAAGACCCUACACCUCGGAGGUCCCACGUGUUGAUCUUCUUGGUGCCCCAAGGGGGAAGGGAGGAAAGACGGAUGGACAGCUAGAAGCCCGGGCCUGUCUGCAGGAGGCCUCCCUAGUCCCGCCUACUCUCCGCAGAGCCUCCCAGUGCUUCCCAGCACCUCCCCUGCCCGCACUUCCCCCAUAGGCCAGCUCCCCACACGUGGAUCCCAGAGGGCGGUCUUGCCUUGGGAACAGAAGUUGAGAUCCCUCCUCUGGGGAUUGGCCGCUCAAAGUCUGAUGAGGAAAGCUUUGGGGAAUUUUCCAGAAAUGACCUCACGGUGGCGGUGUGGCGCCCAGAACGCUAUCAAAUAGAGCGGGUCUCCUCCACAUGCUUCUCUCCCUCCCAUCCGGUGUUAGAGGGAAGAACGUGACCAAGAGACAAAGACACCAGAAACUAUGGCUGCCUUGUCCUUGAACAGUUUUAGAAAAUCUGCUUGCAUUAUGGUUUUCCUUUUGGUUUUCACCCAAAAUCAGAGGCCUAGUUCAAGAAUUCAAUUUCCACCUACCCAGUCUUUGCAAUUCGCCCCCACACCCUACCCCACGCACGCCCACCUCCAUCCCCACCGCCCUACCCCCAGCUUCACUCAGCACUUUCUCACGGAACCAAAUUGUCUUGGAGUAUCCGGGAUGGACUCCAGGGACCCGAGGCUAGUGGGAAAUGAAAAUGGUUCCAGCUAAGGGGUUGGAGACCAGCCACUCCAGGCAUCACUACCAGCGCCUUGUCACUGGUCCUCUUCCCACACUCCCUGGGGAAUCUGCACAUACUCUGACCAGAAUACCAAACCUGUAUGUUGGGGAACACUCCACAACUCCAAAUUAUGUGUCUAGUAGACUACAAGCAUAUAUAAUACAGUAUGCUCUGUAUUAAGGAGAAGGGGGUUUUGAUAAUUAUUUUAAUCAAUUUUAUUUAUUAAAAUUAGAAGAAAAAGGAA